GAUGAACGCUAGCUACAGGCUUAACACAUGCAAGUCGAGGGGAAACGACAUCGAAAGCUUGCUUUUGAUGGGCGUCGACCGGCGCACGGGUGAGUAACGCGUAUCCAACCUGCCCAUCACUUGGGAAUAACCUUGCGAAAGUAAGACUAAUACCCAAUGAUAUCCCACGAAGGCAUCGGAAUGGGAUUAAAGAUUUAUCGGUGAUGGAUGGGGAUGCGUCUGAUUAGCUUGUUGGCGGGGUAACGGCCCACCAAGGCAACGAUCAGUAGGGGUUCUGAGAGGAAGGUCCCCCACAAUGGAACUGAGACACGGUCCAAACUCCUACGGGAGGCAGCAGUGAGAAAUAUUGGUCAAUGGGCGAGAGCCUGAACCAGCCAAGUAGCGUGCAGGAAGACGGCCCUAUGGGUUGUAAACUGCUUUUAUAAGGGAAUAAAGUGGGUCACGUGUGACUUUUUGCAUGUACCUGAUGAAUAAGGACCGGCUAAUUCCGUG
rnacentral:rRNA from 1 species